AAAAAAAAAAAAAAAAAAAAAAAAAAAAUCCUGCGUCAUAGAAUUGGUAUGAGAUUUAAAUGAGAUAAUAAAGCACAUAGUGUCUGCCACGUAGUACGCAUGAUACAAUAGUUAGCUAUUGCUGGUGUUAUACAAUUCCUCAGCACGUCCUAUAGCUUCCCCAGGUAUGUCCAAUCACAACCCAUUACCAGAAAAGACAUAAUCUUUGAGUGGUAGGACUUGAAUACACCUAGAAUCCAAAACACAAAAAAGGAAUUGAAUGGAGUUCUGCUUUUUGGAGGCGAUCUCCCUUUCAUCAUGCAGGUGGAGCCAUAUUUUUGGCUUCUUUCUCACUUUUUGGUGAAGCUCUCCGGCCCUGCCCCAGGUCCAUGGUGCACACUGCUGACAUCCUGUGUGAAAAUCCAUGAGGCCGUUAUUUCAGCCUCCAUCACAGAUGAAGUUAGGUUUCUGCCGACUUCUGUAGGAGCAGCCCAAGAGCUUUGACAUCUACCCACAGCUAAUCACUUCUCACCGCCUUUUCCAGGGCCACCACCUACCCCGACCACUGGGAGCUCCUCCAAACCACCUUUCCAUUCUGUGCCUGCCUCCCUCAGCCACCUCCCCGGCCGUAAAUCAGCUCCUAGCAUGACUCUGGUUAAAACUCUCCAGGAACCUCCACCGACAGCAAAACCGGUCUUCACCUUGGUUUAUAAGGUCCUGUGUGAGCCGGUCCCCUCCUGCUGUCUGGCUCACGGCACCCUGUGUCCUCUCCAGGCUUCAGCCCCACAGGCCAACAUUCCUUUGUACCUGUGUCUGCGGCACUGCCUUCCCCUCCAAGGUCCUCUCUGCCUGGGAUGCUCCUCCCUGACCACCCCCCACCCCACAGCUGGCUCCCUUCCUGUAGCCCUGGAAUGAGAAACCUCCUGGGCAUGCCAUUUGAGCCCCGCCUCCUCCCUCAUUUCUCACAAGCUUCACACACUCUUUCGUGUUCUUCCUAGCACUUCCUAGUUUCUGGGUACUAUUGGUUUGUGAUUUGUUGUUCUCUUCUCAUUACAUGGAAAACUUCAUAAUUACGGAGCCUCCACUAUCCCCAAUUCACCAUUGCAUUUCUGGUUCCUGGGACAGCCUCAGCCUCCGGAAAAAAGUCUUUUGUAAGACACAAUACUGCAUCUCCAACAAGAAUGCAAGUCCUAUUUCAGAGAUGCUGGGGGCACAGAGAGCCCUGGUUGUUUUUCAGGGGUAUCGUGUUCUCUUUUGGCUCAAGCUUAUACCCAGAAACUUGGAUAAAGUUCUGCGCUGGACAACCUGACAGGUGACAAAAGUCUCCUACUUAUAAGCAAGCUGACUGCAGCACACGAGAAAGAAGAUUUAUUAAAAAAUAAAGCAAACUAAUUCCUUCACUCCAAAUAACCUAAAACUCCGCCAUCCCGUCACCAGUAAGGCGUAGUGAGGAAAGUGUGGAAUGCAGAGAAAACGGAUGUGAGUCACAGGCUCACUGAAAGCCAGCCAGGAUCACUCAGGCUGCUGUUUAAGAAACAGACCACAAUGGGGAAGAGGAGAAGACGAGAGAGCGGAUGAGAGGCUGUUCUCAUAAUCGAGGGGCGAGAGAAGCGGGCGACGGCAGCAGAGGCAGUGAACAGUGGUGAGAUGUGAAACCACACACCGCUGCUAACACAUCGGAUUGAGGAUGGAUUGGAUUUAAGACAGAGGAGCCAAGGAAGACGCAAACAGUGGUGGCCUAAGCGACCAAGGGGGCAGGGUCGCCCUCUUCCGAGGCAGGGGCGGAGCAGGACCAUGGGAGGCUUAGAGAGUGUGGCUUUGCAAGGGUUAAGUUGGCGAUGCCAACGUGACAGUAACGUCAGCGGGUGUGUGAAGGAGGAAGACGUGCGUGACCGCGUGCACACGGCAGCAGAUGGUCCAGAUACUCAGAGAGAAAGGCCGUGGGAGGGAGAAGAGAUUGAGUUUAAGGAACGGUACACAUCUGUACUGGGGAGCGAGGGGGAAAGCCUGCAUACCCACGUCGAGCUCUUAUCUGCCUUUACAUUGUGUUCGGUGCUGUUUGGUUUGA